rnacentral:rRNA from 1 species
GUGAUACACAUAGGUACCUGCCUCUACCUGAGGAAUGCCCCGCGAAAGCGGGGAUAAUACCUCAUGGUUCCUCCGAUUUCGGAGGGUAAAGAGCAUAACUGCUUGGAUAGAGAUGGGCCUAUGGCUUAUCAGGUAGUUGGUGGGGUAACGGCCUACCAAGCCUAUGACGAGUAGCUGAUCUGAGAGGAUGGUCAGCCAGAGGGGCACUGAGAUACGGGCUCCACUCCUACGGGAGGCAGCAAUCAGGAAUAGUCGGCAAUGGACGAAAGUCUGACCGCGCGACGCCGCGUGUAG